AGCCGUCAGCCGUUUGCCCAUUUCAAAUGGUCCAUUUGAUUGAUGAAAACUAAAGUUGGCAACGCUGGGCUGUCAAUACAUGAAAGAGCUGGAAAGAGUUGAAUGUACAAAACUGAAAGGGAUUCUCUGCCAGCAGGCACAAAAAUAGACUUUUUAACAUUUAUAACUGAUUCUGUUUGACUUUAAGGUCAGAUAAUCUGAUCUUAAUGAACAACCCGUAAAAAAUGCAUUUGUGAAUGGGCUAGUUUGUUUAACGCAUUCAUUUCUUUCAUACUCUUUGCAAAUGAAAUACGACUUCAUCUUUAUUCAUUUCUAUUGGAUUGAUAAUGAAAAAAAAAUGUCUCAAUUUAUAAAUGUCUGUGUUUUUUAAAUAUUUCAUUCUAGAGUGGGCAGACGAAACCCAGUACACAUUUGAAUAGUGGAAGGAUGGUGAAUCUUGUGCAGGGUCAACUUAAGGAAAAAUCAAUUGUCUGAGACGUGGAGUGGGAAUAAGCCAUUUAAUGUGCAGGAUUGACCAUUGUGUUGAAGAAAGUUAUAUAGCAGAAAAGACUUCAAUGGUAUCAUGAAAAAAACAUUUAGGAAGAGAUGGUAAUUGCACAAGAUGCAUGUGUUAUUAAGCUCAAUUUGGUUGAAACAGGAUAUUCACCUUAAACCUCCAGUUUGUCUCGUACAACUGAGAUCUUCGCAGGAACGUGGGAUUUUUUGGAUUUCCGGGUGUUUGACUGGAUCCUGACGUCGUUUCAAUUGAUCUGCCAGCAAUUAUUAUCUGAUUUCUCAGAGCUUUGGCUUUCGCUACGCAGAUUUAUGUUUUCCUGUUUCAGUAUGUCCGGGAGGACAUUCUUUCUCUGAAGAGCCGACUUCAUUUUGAUCCACAAACUAAAUGAAAAAAGUUGUCUCUUAGCUGUUCCAGUUGCUCUUCUACGAUAAAAACUAGCCAUCACACAAGACAAUCACAAAGCCAAAAUAAAUGGGAUGACAGUGAUGCAUCACGCCAUGUUGUAUGACUCCAUUGGAUUACGACUGCCUUUUUAUUACGGUGUCAUCGAACGAUACAAGUUGUUUCCCCAAGUUCACGAACCAGUGCAUUUCUACAUAGGACUCUAACCAAUCGAUUUUACCAUCGUUUAUCGAUUGGGUAGUUGUUUUCAUCCUUUCUACAGAUUGUUCUGCACGUGAAGCAAAUCGAGACCAUCGACAUUUCUUCUGGUAUGUGUUUACAAAUGGUUUUCGUGUUCAAACAUUGGAACAACAGAGUGCACACUUACAUGUAAUAUUGGACUAACUUUAGUUUUUUAUUUGCUUCACGUGCUGAACAUUUGCGAAAUCGGAUGUUCCAAAAUAAUAGGGACUGAAAUUCUAAAAAUUAAAAGGGUUUUGGACAUUCAAUGGAAUUGGACCACAAAACUUCCAGCAAUCCUAGGGAAAGUCCCUUGAAUGAAUCCCUGUUAAAAAAUCAACCAUAUGAAACUUAAUUAACGAUUGAGGCUGGAAAAUAUUAGAUACAUUUUGAAAUAAAUAUAGUAACAAGUCUUUACAAUUCAUUAAUUGGAAUGCUAGCAGCUGGAACCAGGAAACAAUGGAUUCAUGUUAUAAAGUUAAAACACCUUGUAAUUUCAUUUGAUUUGCAAAUCCUAGAACAAAAGUCUGUUCAUUUGAUUUUUAUAGUUGUUUCUACAAAGCUUUUAUCUUAAAGAUCUGUCUUCUUUUAAAUUGUUGAAUAAAUCACAGGAUUGGUGAUGUUUUUACAUGAAAAACCA